CUCGCCACACAAAAGCAAAUUUAUAAACUAAUUGUCCGAAUUUCUUUGCAACAUUUGAUCUGUUGUUUCCGCAGCAUAUACUUGAGGUGGUGUCGGAGUUCACUUAUUCGUUUUCUCCAUCAUCGCAUGAUUGAAUUCUGGUUCAAAUCUCAUUAGCAACAUUUCUAAAGUCAUUUAAACUUCACCCUCACUCAAAUGAAGGAGCUCGUCACUAGUCUUGAAUUAAUUAUGAAGGGGAACGAGGCGAUUUGAAGGGUACAACUGGUCGGGAGCUAUUGUUGUUCCCUUGAUGAGCCCGUGGCAAGGCGAAACCAGUUUGGCGUCGUAUGAGGGUAAGACUGGUAUGAGGCGAUUUGAAGGGCAAAACUGGUCGGGAGCUAUUGUUGUUCUCUUGAUGAGCCCGUGUCAAGGUGAAAUCAGUUUGGCACAAUGCUGCCGAAUGAGGAUAAGGCUGGUCCGCAAGGUAAGAGGGGUCCCGGUACGCUGCACAGGCGCUGGGUGCAGCCCUAGACUCUGAUAGUAAGGGGAAAAAAGUUUCAUUUCUGGCAUUUAUAUUGCAUUCCAAAAUGUGAUGUUAUAAUGAAAUGUUAGGCAUGAAUGCUGCUUAGAUUAAAGUGUCCCUCAAUGUGUUUAAUCUACACUGAAAUGGGAAAGUAUAGAAUUUGGAUUGUACAA